rnacentral:miRNA from 1 species
GAACAUUGAAACUGGCUAGGGAAAAUGAUUGGAUAGAAAAUAUUAUUCUAUUCAUUUAUCCCUAGCCUACAAAAU